GUGGCGAGUGGCGAACGGGUGAGUAAUAUAUCGGAACGUGCCCAGUCGUGGGGGAUAACGUAGCGAAAGUUACGCUAAUACCGCAUACGAUCUACGGAUGAAAGCGGGGGAUCGCAAGACCUCGCGCGAUUGGAGCGGCCGAUAUCAGAUUAGGUAGUUGGUGGGGUAAAGGCUCACCAAGCCAACGAUCUGUAGCUGGUCUGAGAGGACGACCAGCCACACUGGGACUGAGACACGGCCCAGACUCCUACGGGAGGCAGCAGUGGGGAAUUUUGGACAAUGGACGCAAGUCUGAUCCAGCCAUUCCGCGUGCAGGACGAAGGCCUUCGGGUUGUAAACUGCUUUUGUACGGAACGAAAAAGCUCUUACUAAUACUAGGAGUCCAUGACGGUACCGUAAGAAUAAGCACCGGCUAACUACGUGCCAGCAGCCGCGGUAAUACGUAGGGUGCGAGCGUUAAUCGGAAUUACUGGGCGUAAAGCGUGCGCAGGCGGUUAUAUAAGACAGAAGGGAAAUCCCCGGGCUCACCUGGGGAACUGCAUUUGUGACUGUAUAGCUAGAGUGCGGCAGAGGGGGAUGGAAUUCCGCGUGUAGCAGUGAAAUGCGUAGAUAUGCGGAGGAACACCGAUGGCGAAGGCAAUCCCCUGGGCCUGCACUGACGCUCAUGCACGAAAGCGUGGGGAGCAAACAGGAUU
rnacentral:rRNA from 1 species